rnacentral:misc_RNA from 1 species
GUAAGUUAAAAGUGCAGCAAAGAGUCCGAUAAAUGCUGCUUACACUAAUGCAGCAUUAAUGGGAAAUUCAAAAAAAUGCAAAAUGCCAUAAGCUAAGCCGCCAAAAAACAAAUUAGGAACAGGUUGUCACAAUUGGAAAUGAUGAUUCAAUUGGUUAACGUGUGUUCUCAUACUUGUAUCAACAGAGCGACUUUGUUUUCCUAAAACAAAAAUGUCUCUAUCUGUUUGUAAGACAUGAAAACUGGAUUCUAGAGCCCGGACAGCACAGGAUAACAUUUUUUUUUAAUUACCCAAAUAUAAAAGGAAUAAGAUAAUUAAACAAAAGCUUCACAAGCUGAUAAGAAACAAUGGUGGAUCAAAAUAGAAUUCCCCAUCAGAAACUGGGAUUUGCAGCUAUACUAUCUGUCAUCCACUCUAGCUGCUGUUGCAGGUUGCUCAUUGCUGAGAGAUGCUUUCUUCCUACUAGGCCCAGUAGAAACUUUGACCAUGGCUGGUCUUAAAAGCCGAUUUCCAAGAAGAAAACCACGCUGGAAUUCUUGAAUUACAAUGCCUUCCUUGUACUCUUGUGACUCUUCACGUGCAAUGGCCUCAUGCAGCGAGGGAUCAAAAGGCUUUCCAACUGUUGCUACAGCAGCAACCUGCAAGCUCCUCAUAAUCUCCACAAACUGCUUGUAUAUACCUUGGUAACUUGCAUCAAUCUUCUUUUCCUUUUCUGUUUCUGGUUUUAUUUGUUGUUUGGCUCUUUCAAAGCUGUCCACCAUGGGCAAAAGGCUCUCAAUCACUUCUCCCUGGGCAUUACUCCUAAUGGUAAGCCUUUCCUUCUCUGACCUUUUUCUAAAAUUAUCAAAAUCUGCUUGCAAGCGAAUAUUUUUCUCCUUGCCAGAGGUUAUUUCCGCUGAUAAAGCUGAAACUUUCUGGAUUAAUUGAGUAUUCUCAUUUUCAAUAAUCAUUAUCCUAGCCUCAACGUCCAAUACAGUCCUCUCAUCUCCUAGAAGAAUAGCCGCUUUAUAAAUGUUAAUAAGGUUCUUCAAACUGGAUACACGUUGGCCAUCUGCUUCUUUUUCUGAUGCUUUCACAUCAUUUUGAACGUUCUCCUCUUUGUCAUUUGUCUAAAUUAAGAACAAAAAUGGGGGAAGGAACAUUAUUUUAAUCAAUUUGAAUUGCUACUAUCAAUUUAAGGGGGAAAAUUGGAGGUUAAAAUAAUUAAUAGAACAUUGGGAAAGGUAAAAUUCAUUAUCUUAAAUUGCAACUUCACUUCAAAAAGUUAUUGGUGAGAGUGAGGAAGUAAAAUGAACCGUUAGUUACAUGACUUAGUACGACAUCAAAGUUACCAAGAUCUCUAAACUCUCAAGGAGGUGCAAUAUGGAAUUGCCCACUGGAUCUCAUGGUGACGCCAAAUUUCUUUUAUUAGCAAUUUUAAACAGUUAGAAGAUACAAUAUGAGGUCCUACACCAAAUUAAACUCUCAAAUAUUCAGCCUAAAAUCAUAUGAUAGUUGUCAUUUCUUGGUUUCAUAUAUAUGUUUGUAAAUAGACCAGCAUAGCACAUGCAUAUACAUACAGCAAACCAGCUAAGCCUAACCCCACUUCACCAUCUAUGAUUUUGUGCCAUGCUUUGAUAACCGUCCUCCAAACUAACCCAUACUGCAUUCUACAUGACUGUUUAAUAUAAUACAAAUAAACAAAUGUUCAAAAUAGGGUUGAGGAUUUAAUUCAACACAGACGACAGCAUAACUAGGGGUCCUUAAGCACAUGAAAUCCCCUAGCCACAGCCUUCCAAACUCAUAGACAUAUAAUGCAAGCAUAAAGUCAAAACAAUCAAUUAAAAACUAAGAACUUAUAAAUGGAUGAUAUAUCAACAAAACUGUGGCCAAAAGGAAAAACAUAGAAGGCAGACGUGGUUGUGUUCAAAUCGUGUUUGACCAUAGACAGACUUGUGACCAAGCUUAAAGUAAAAAGAGAGAUCUAAAAGUCAGCUAGCAUGUGCAUCCAAGGAGAGUUCUUGCUGAGCAGAAAACUGCUCCAGGAGACAACACUCAAUUCGCCAAGGAAACAAUCUCAAAUAUGGAAAGCUUUAAUGGCCAAUAGUUGAGGUUAAUUUCUGCAAAUUUUCAUAUGCACAAUGCUUCCUAAAUCAACUUCAGUCAGACAUCAACUGUCCACCCCACAGUCAAAUGCUGAUACAUCCAGAGCAUCUACUAACUAGAUAAAGACGCCCAUUAGCAAAAAUCAUAGUUUAUGCUUGUGGCACACACAAACUAUGUACACCUAGAUGUAAAAGGACAUGGAGGAUCAGCGAAAGUUUUGUUACUUCUUUUUCAUGAGUAGCAUCUAUAAUUUCCACAUCUACGGAAGACACCUUCGAUUUCCAUCAUUUCAGAUACUGUUCAGCAUAAAAAAUUAAGAUUCGGAAAUCCCAGAAAUGGUAGAAUUUAAAAAAAAAAAAAAAUCGCAUUCACAUCCACCAAGAUUAUAGUAAAAACAAGUGUAAUAAAAACUCAAUGGACAUAAAACAAGCAUAAAUUAACAAGUUAAGAAAAAUGGAUUGCAUACAGUAGGUGCAGAAUCUUCGGCGGCAAGGUAAGCUUUGAAGGAACGCGAUUGGAAGUAGUAGUUUGUGAGUGGAGAGGAAUUGGAGAGAGGUAAUCCAAUGAUAGGAUUGGAAAGACGACGUCUAUGAUGGAGAGAUUGGAGAGGCAAUAGAGUUUUAGUUUCUAGGGUUUUGGAGGGUUUUGCAGGGAAUGAAGCGAAGAGGCGCGGAGGUGGAGGGGUUAAGAGAGAGUGGUUAGAGAAAGAAACGGCCAUUGAUUGAUGAUGAUGGUUUCAAUUUCACAAAUCAAAGCACUUGUUUAAAGCCCUUUCCCUUGCCUGCCCAACAAUGAGCACGAUUUGACGGAAGAACCGUCUGGAAACAGAGCUUAAUUUAGCUUAAUAAUUAAUUAACUAUUAAUAAGCUGAGCUAACCACUUUAUUUGUCCUGUAUGUGGACGGAGAUAGAUACGGACCGUGGUAUUGAGGUUCUUCUCUUGCCAAUUUUCCCUUACUCAACCAAACCCCAAUAUAUUUCCUCCACGGAAUUCGUAUGGCGUACCAUCGUUGACUGAGGUUGACAGCUACCAACAUGCAGACUAGAGUUAGCGUUCGACCUUGGAAUUUGCCGAAGUGCCAAUUCUUUUCCUUGCUAUUACCCAUCAAAAUAGCAAAUGAUACACGCAUACGGUUCCCAAGCAUACACUGCUUCUUUUUCUUCUAUCCAGCUCGUUUCUCGGGCAUGAAAAUUGCAAGAAAGAUAGCACUUAGUUCUGCCUCGUUAGAGAUCAUGAAAUACUUGGUUAAUGGAAUUUUCAUUUAUUAAGUCUUUAUAAAAGAUUGAU